GCCCUCCGGUUCCCUUUCCCAUCGGAUCUGAACACCAAUCGUGGUGGUUGUAGAGGAGGAAAAGUAAUAGUGAAGCUGGCCUCACAGUGCUUAUAGUCUGUGGGCUAGUUUCAAACAAGG
rnacentral:snoRNA from 1 species